rnacentral:lncRNA from 1 species
GCAGUCGUAACAAAGUGCAUAAUCUAGAUGGUUUAAUGUCAGCUGAGUCACCCAAUUAGUUGAAGUAAUAUGAUCCUCUAGACUGUUUUGCUGUGAGUGCUACUUAUUAGUGGAUUCCAUGUGAUUACAAUUUGAUUAUCUAUAAAUGGCUACAUAUCUGACAAUACUGUAAAUAUUUGUUGCUUGCCUUGUUUAAAGGUAAAUAUUUGUUGCUUGCCGUACAUGUAUUUUCUUGCUACAUUCAUGAUUUAAUCCAUAAAUUGUUUUAAUGGUUUAUAGGUAGCUUCUUUGAGCCUUUUUUUU